UACGAAGGGGGCUAGCGUUGCUCGGAAUCACUGGGCGUAAAGCGAACGUAGGCGGCUUCUUAAGGCAGGGGUGAAAUCCUGGGGCUCAACCCCAGAACUGCCCUUGAUACUGAGGAGCUUGAGUCCGGGAGAGGUGAGUGGAACUCCGAGUGUAGAGGUGAAAUUCGUAGAUAUUCGGAAGAACACCAGUGGCGAAGGCGGCUCACUGGCCCGGUUCUGACGCUGAGGUGCGAAAGAGUGGGGAGCAAACAGG
rnacentral:rRNA from 1 species